rnacentral:rRNA from 1 species
AUUGAACGCUGGCGGCAGGCCUAACACAUGCAAGUCGAGCGGAUGAAGGGAGCUUGCUCCUGGAUUCAGCGGCGGACGGGUGAGUAAUGCCUAGGAAUCUGCCUGGUCGUGGGGGAUAACGUCCGGAAACGGGCGCUAAUACCGCAUACGUCCUGAGGUAGAAAGUGGGGGAUCUUCGGACCUCACGCUAUCAGAUGAGCCUAGGUCGGAUUAGCUAGUUGGUGGGGUAAAGGCCUACCAAGGCGACGAUCCGUAACUGGUCUGAGAGGAUGAUCAGUCACACUGGAACUGAGACACGGUCCAGACUCCUACGGGAGGCAGCAGUGGGGAAUAUUGGACAAUGGGCGAAAGCCUGAUCCAGCCAUGCCGCGUGUGUGAAGAAGGUCUUCGGAUUGUAAAGCACUUUAAGUUGGGAGGAAGGGCAGUAAGUUAAUACCUUGCUGUUUUGACGUUACCAACAGAAUAAGCACCGGCUAACUUCGUG